CACGGCCCCACACGGAUCGGGGGCCGCAGCUGCUCGGCCCGAGGGGCGGCGCUGGCGGCGGGCGGGGCCUGCGUGGAGUCACCCACAGCCCCGUCGGCCCGAAGGGAAGGAAAUUGGCUCUUUUCCCGACGGUAGGGCCAAGCCUGCCUAGUACCGAGGGCUCGGGAUUGAAGGCUGCUGCUUUGGAAACAUCAUCGGUCAGAAGGAGAGUACUUGGAAGAAGAACAAACUACUCCUCCGUUUGAACAAACAUCCUCAGUUGUGAACUGAAGUGAGCAAUUAAAUAAAUAGAAGAUAAACACUCA